GCCGGGCGUGGUGGGGCGCACCUGUAAUUCCAGCUACUCGGGAGGCUGAGGUGGGAGAAUCACUUGAACCCAGGAGGCAGAGGGUGCAGUGAGCCAAGAUCGGGCCACUGCACUCCAGCCUAGGUGACAGAGCAAGACUAUCUCAAAAAAAAAAAAAAAAAAAAAAAAANNNNNNNNNNUUUUUUUUUUUUUUUUUUUUUUUUUGAGAUAGUCUUGCUCUGUCACCUAGGCUGGAGUGCAGUGGCCCGAUCUUGGCUCACUGCAACCUCCAACCCCCGGGUACAAGCAGUUCUCCCAUCUCAG
rnacentral:SRP_RNA from 1 species